rnacentral:pre_miRNA from 1 species
AAAGUAUCUCUCCGUUUCACAAUACAUGCCUUCAAUUUGUUAAAAUAUAGAUAUAUCUAGACAUGUUUUAGUAUAUAGAUACAUUCAUUUUUGAACAAAUGAAAGUCAAGUAUUUUGGAACAGAGGGAGUAGCAG